rnacentral:rRNA from 1 species
AUCCUGGCUUAGGAUGAACGCUGGCGGCGUGCCUAAUACAUGCAAGUGAAACGGGUAUCUUCGGAUACCAGUCGCGGACGGGUGAGUAAUACAUAGGCAACCUGCCUUUAUGAGGGGGGAUAACCGAGGGAAACUUUGGCUAAUACCGCAUGAAGACUCUAAGGCAUCUUAGAGGGAUAAAAGUUGGGAAACAACGCAUGAAGAUGGGCUUAUGGCGCAUUAGCUAGUUGGUGAGAUAGAAGCCCACCAAGGUAAUGAUGCGUAGCCGACCUGAGAGGGUGAACGGCCACAUUGGGACUGAGACACGGCCCAAACUCCUACGGGAGGCAGCAGUAGGGAAUUUUCGGCAAUGGGGGGAACCCUGACCGAGCAACGCCGCGUGAAGGAAGAAGGUUUUCGGAUUGUAAACUUCUGUUAUAAGGGAAGAACGGAUUGGAUAGGGAAUGAUCUGAUAGUGACGGUACCUUAUUAGAAAGCCACGGCUAACUACGUGCCAGCAGCAGC